rnacentral:rRNA from 1 species
UACUGGGCGUAAAGCGCGCGUAGGCGGAUAUUUAAGUCAGAUGUGAAAUCCCUGGGCUCAACCUAGGAACUGCAUUUGAUACUGGAUAUCUAGAGUAUGGUAGAGGUGAGUGGAAUUUCAGGUGUAGCGGUGAAAUGCGUAGAGAUCUGAAGGAACAUCAGUGGCGAAGGCGACUCACUGGGCCAUUACUGACGCUGAGGUGCGAAAGCGUGGGUAGAAAACAGGAUUAGAUACCCUGGUAGUCCACGCCCUAAACGAUGUCAACUAGGUGUAUGGGAGUUUAACUCCUGUGUAUCGAAGCUAACGCGAUAAGUUGACCGCCUGGGGAGUACGGUCGCAAGACUAAAACUCAAAUGAAUUGA